rnacentral:rRNA from 1 species
UGUCGGCUCAUCGCAUCCUGGGGCUGUAGUCGGUCCCAAGGGUUGGGCUGUUCGCCCAUUAAAGCGGUACGCGAGCUGGGUUCAGAACGUCGUGAGACAGUUCGGUCCCUAUCCGUCGUGGGCGUAGGAAAUUUGAGAGGAGCUGUCCUUAGUACGAGAGGACCGGGAUGGACGCACCGCUGGUGUACCAGUUGUUCUGCCAAGGGCAUAGCUGGGUAGCUAUGUGCGGAAGGGAUAAGUGCUGAAAGCAUCUAAGCAUGAAGCCCCCCUCAAGAUGAGAUUUCCCAUAGCGUAAGCUAGUAAGAUCCCUGAAAGAUGAUCAGGUUGAUAGGUUCGAGGUGGAAGCAUGGUGACAUGUGGAGCUGACGAAUACUAAUAGAUCGAGGACUUAACCAUAUAA